CGGCUGGGACCCCCGCCCCGCGCCGGCCUCCGGGGUGACCCGCCCCGCUCGUCGGUGGGAGGGGUGGGGGGGAGGGGGACAUAGGGCGGAGAACCUGGACUCCAGGUCCCAGAUGGAAGGGCCUGGGACCCACGUUUCUGGGACGUUCACCCUGCACGAACCUGCAACCGCAGGGUUCAGGGCGGCGGGAACCAACAGGAAGCAAACAUUGACAGAGUGAGUCAUCGGGUGUGACCCUGAGAGAAGUGAAACCUCAGGUCCCUUCCUGGUAAUGUGGGGAGGAACACUCACUGUCCACAGGAGAUGGAGGGGCCCAUCUGAGACCACAAAUUCCUUCAUUAUCAUGUUAAUUGUUCCUGCACCACCUAA